rnacentral:rRNA from 1 species
AGUGAACGCUGGCGGCGUGCCUAAUACAUGCAAGUCGAACGAAGUGGCGCACGGGUGAGUAAUAUAUAGUUAAUCUGCCCUACACAGAGGAACAACAGUUGGAAACGACUGCUAAUACAUCAUAGUGUAGGAUGAGACUAUAUCGUAUCAGCUAGUUGGUAAGGUAAUGGCUUACCAAGGCGAUGACGCGUAACUGGUCUGAGAGGAUGAUCAGUCACAUUGGAACUGAGACACGGUCCAAACUCCUACGGGAGGCAGCAGUAAUGAAUAUUGCGCAAUGGGGGAAACCCUGACGCAGCAACGCCGCGUGGAGGAAGACGGUCUUCGGAUUGUAAACUUCUUUAGACAGGGACGCGGUACCUGUAGAAUAAGCCACGGCUAACUACGUGCCAGCAGCCGCGGUAAUAC